CUCCCCUCAGCGCGCCCUGGCGCCGCUGGUGUUGGGGCUCCUCAGCCAGAUGAGGGCCCUUAAAGCGAGUGGCGGGCCCGGCUGGUUGGCUCCGAGCGCAGUACUGAACGACCUCGUUCUUCCCCUCGCUCUGCGGCCCCGGCCGGCGCCCUGCCGUCAACGCGCACAUGACGUGCAGCAGCCCCCGGCUGCUAGUCUCCCUCUCAA
rnacentral:misc_RNA from 1 species